rnacentral:rRNA from 1 species
GACGAACGCUGGCGGCGUGCCUAACACAUGCAAGUCGAGCGAGGUCCAUUCGGUAGCAAUACCGAUGAAGACCUAGCGGCGAACGGGUGAGUAACACGUGAGAAACCUGCCCCAAAGUCUGGGAUAACCCGGGGAAACCCGAGCUAAUACCGGAUACCUUCUUUUGAUCGCAUGGUCAGCUGAAGAAAGUUUUUUCGCUUUGGGAGGGUCUCGCGGCCUAUCAGUUUGUUGGUGGGUAACGGCCUACCAAGACAUCGACGGGUAGCUGGUCUGAGAGGACGAUCAGCCACACUGGGACUGAGACACGGCCCAGACUCCUACGGGAGGCAGCAGUGGGGGAAUCUUGCGCAAUGGGCGAAAGCCUGACGCAGCAACGCCGCGUGCGGGAUGACGGCCUCGGUUGUAACCGACUUCAGCAGGGACGGAAAGUUAG